rnacentral:rRNA from 1 species
UACGAGGGGGGCGAGCGUUGUUCGGAAUUAUUGGGCGUAAAGGGUGCGUAGGCGGUUUGGUAAGUCUUGUGUGAAAUCUCCAGGCUCAACUUGGAGUCUGCACGAGAAACUGCCGGGCUUGAGUGUGGGAGAGGUGAGUGGAAUUCCCGGUGUAGAGGUGAAAUUCGUAGAUAUUGGGAAGAACACCGGUGGCGAAGGCGGCUCACUGGCUCGUAACUGACGCUCAUGCACGACAGCGUGGGGAUCAAACAGG